ensembl:ncRNA F10E9.17 ncRNA
AACAUGCUCGCGCACAGAUUGAAAUGAACAGAAAGAGACGAGGAAGAGUGCGAAUGAUUUAUUCAUCAAUGCUCUGGUAUGUUCAGAGCUUUGCAACAAAUGAAAAAGAGCACAAAUGGAACAUUUCUGAAUAAUAU